rnacentral:rRNA from 1 species
UACGGGAGGCAGCAGUGGGGAAUAUUGCACAAUGGGCGCAAGCCUGAUGCAGCCAUGCCGCGUGUAUGAAGAAGGCCUUCGGGUUGUAAAGUACUUUCAGUCGUGAGGAAGGUGUUAAGGUUAAUAACCUUAGCAAUUGACGUUAGCGACAGAAGAAGCACCGGCUAACUCCGUGCCAGCAGCCGCGGUAAUACGGAGGGUGCGAGCGUUAAUCGGAAUUACUGGGCGUAAAGGGCACGCAGGCGGUUAAUUAAGUUGGAUGUGAAAUCCCCGGGCUUAACCUGGGAAUGGCAUUCAAGACUGGUUAGCUAGAGUCUUGUAGAGGGGGUUAGAAUUCCAUGUGUAGCGGUGAAAUGCGUAGAGAUGUGGAGGAAUACCGGUGGCGAAGGCGGCCCCUGGACAAAGGCUGACGCUCAUGUGCGAAAGCUGGGGAGCAAACGAGGAUUAGAUACC